GACGAACGCUGGCGGCGUGCCUAAUACAUGCAAGUCGAGCGGAACGUUGGGAGCUUGCUCCCAUUGUUUAGCGGCGGACGGGUGAGUAACACGUGGGCCACCUGCCCUGCAGAUCGGGAUAACUCCGGGAAACCGGUGCUAAUACCGAAUAGUUUGCGGCCUCUCCUGAGGCUGCACGGAAAGACGGUUUCGGCUGUCCCUGCAGGAUGGGCCCGCGGCGCAUUAGCUAGUUGGUGGGGUAAUGGCCUACCAAGGCGACGAUGCGUAGCCGACCUGAGAGGGUGAUUGGCCCCCCUGGGACUGAGACACGGCCCCGACUCCUACGGGAGGCAGCCGUAGGGAAUCUUCCGCAAUGGACGAAAGUCUGACGGAGCAACCCCGCGUGAGUGACGAAGGUUUUCGGAUUGUAAAACUUUGUUGUGAGGGAAGAACAAGUACCAAUUAACUACUGGUACCUUGACGGUACCUCACCAGAAAGCCCCGGCUAACUACGUG
rnacentral:rRNA from 1 species